rnacentral:rRNA from 1 species
GCGGCGGACGGGUGAGUAACGCGUGGGUAACCUACCCCAAAGUCCGGGAUAACAGCGGGAAACCGCUGCUAAUACCGGAUGCCUUUACCUUGGGGCAUCUUGAGGUAAAGAAAGGCAACGCUUUGGGAUGGGCCCGCGUCCCAUUAGCUAGUUGGUGAGGUAACGGCUCACCAAGGCGACGAUGGGUAGCCGGCCUGAGAGGGUGGACGGCCACACUGGGACUGAGACACGGCCCAGACUCCUACGGGAGGCAGCAGUAGGGAAUAUUGCGCAAUGGACGGAAGUCUGACGCAGCGACGCCGCGUGAGCGAUGAAGGUCUUCGGAUCGUAAAGCUCUGUCCUUGGGGAAGAAGGUCUUCGGACUUGACGGUACCCAAGAAGAAAGCCCCGGCUAACUACGUGCCAGCAGCCGCGGUAAUACGUAGGGGGCGAGCGUUGUCCGGAAUUACUGGGCGUAAAGGGUGCGUAGGCGGCCCUUUAAGUCGGAUGUGAAAGCCCGCG